GGCAGAAUAGCUCAGUGGUUAGAGCAUAGGUGGCACAAUCACUGAAGGGUCCCUGGUUCAAUUCCAGGUUCAGCCA